UACGUAGGGUGCGAGCGUUGUCCGGAAUUAUUGGGCGUAAAGGGCUCGUAGGCGGUCUGUCGCGUCGGGAGUGAAAACUCAGGGCUUAACCCUGAGCCUGCUUCCGAUACGGGCAGACUAGAGGUAUGCAGGGGAGAACGGAAUUCCUGGUGUAGCGGUGGAAUGCGCAGAUAUCAGGAGGAACACCGGUGGCGAAGGCGGGUCUCUGGGCAUUAACUGACGCUGAGGAGCGAAAGCAUGGGGAGCGAACAGG
rnacentral:rRNA from 1 species